GGAAUAUGUCGAGUUUCUCUAGGGCGCCCCAGCAAUGGGCCACUUUUGCUAGAAUAUGGUAUCUCUUAGAUGGGAAAAUGCAGCCACCUGGCAAACUUGCUGCUAUGGCAUCUAUAAGACUUCAGGGAUUACAUAAACCUGUGUACCAUGCACUGACUACCCAGGUGGAUUUAGACAAGUAACAGCUGCUCAGCUUCACCUGAGGGAUCCAGUGGCAAUUGUAAAACUAGCUAUUUAUGGCAUGCUGCCAAAAAACCUUCACAGAAGAACAAUGAUGGAAAGGUUGCAUCUUUUUCCAGAUGAGGUAAGUCAGUGGUCAUUGGUAACAAUGCUUUUCCAAAAUUUUCAAUUAAAUGUUUCAUUUUCUUUUUAAAUAAAUGCCACAGACUUAUUUUCAAAAAUUUUAUGUCAACUUCUGAAAUAUUUUUGUAUUUUUAAAUGAAUAUGUAUGUAUAAAAAAUGAUAAUUCUAUUAAUAUUUUAAAAUGUAAAAUGAACCAU
rnacentral:lncRNA from 1 species